AUUGAACGCUGGCGGCAGGCCUAACACAUGCAAGUCGAGCGGCAGCGGGAAAGUAGCUUGCUACUUUUGCCGGCGAGCGGCGGACGGGUGAGUAAUGCCUGGGAAAUUGCCCAGUCGAGGGGGAUAACAGUUGGAAACGAAUGCUAAUACCGCAUACGCCCUACGGGGGAAAGCAGGGGACCUUCGGGCCUUGCGCGAUUGGAUAGGCCCAGGUGGGAUUAGCUAGUUGGUGAGGUAAUGGCUCACCAAGGCGACGAUCCCUAGCUGGUCUGAGAGGAUGAUCAGCCACACUGGAACUGAGACACGGUCCAGACUCCUACGGGAGGCAGCAGUGGGGAAUAUUGCACAAUGGGGGAAACCCUGAUGCAGCCAUGCCGCGUGUGUGAAGAAGGCCUUCGGGUUGUAAAGCACUUUCAGCGAGGAGGAAAGGUUGAUGCCUAAUACGUAUCAACUGUGACGUUACUCGCAGAAGAAGCACCGGCUAACUCCGUGCCAGCCGCCGCAGUAAUAC
rnacentral:rRNA from 1 species